UGCACACAAUCAUAAAAUAACAGUUUUCAUACAUAUUUCCUGGGGAUAAGCCAUUAGUUUCUGACUCAAUUAGGAGACCUGUUUGAAAAAUGACUCUGAGAACUAUUUGAGGUUAUAUAAAUUUUUUCUUGCAUGAUAGAGUAAUAUGGCUUCAUAUUUACCCAAUGUAUUAUUAUAUCAGAGCCAAGAGAACUGAACAAAUGAAUUUUUAUUUUAUUACAAAAUUCAGCUUGAAUGAAUGAAUCUAGGUAGUCUUAAAUAAGCAUUUUCCCAGGCCUCAUUCCAAAAUAAAUGGUGAAGUUCAAGAUAAAGACUAAGUUUAAGGAUCCCACCUCUCCUUUACUAAUUCAACAUGUUUCAAGAGGCUGAAGUAAACUGAAUGAAAACUACACAUCUGUAGCUUUCAUUGUUUCUGCUGGCACUCAGCCCAUGCUCUGUUAUAAGAUGAAAUGAAUUUUGCAGAGAGAAAACAAAUUUGCAAAAGUUUCAGAGAGUUCAAUUUUUUUCUCUUAUGCUUGACUGCGUGUGCAUGU
rnacentral:lncRNA from 1 species